rnacentral:lncRNA from 1 species
UCUCUCCCCCACUUCUGAUAACAGACCUGCCGUACCAUGGGAAGAUGGCCAAAAAUGGCCGCCCACGGUACUUGUUCCUCGGCUACAGUAAUUGGUCCAUGUGUAGGCAUGUGACCCAUCAUGACCAAUCAUAGCAGCCCACUUCUGAGCGGGGGCACAGCAAUUGUUCCAGGUGUAGUCAUGUGACUCAAGCAGGGCGAAUUCAGGAUUGUCUGCAGAGCUUGUGGGGAGGAUGUUUCUUUCUCUCCCUCCUCCUCUCUGGCAUCCAGGCCUUAAAGAGGUAGACUUGGCACUACCAGUGGCCUCAGACAAUAAGGCCAAUAAGCAGAGAGGAGGAGAAAUGAAACAUGAGGGAAGGCAUCGAGCUUGAGGAAGAGGCCCCAUUCAUCUCCGUACCCCAGGCCCUGGUACACAGCAGGCAGCUCCAGGCGGGCACGCAUCUUUGUUGUGUUCUCUGCUGACUAUAUCCUCAGCACCUAGAACUGUGUCUGUCACCUAAUAGAUGCUCAAUAAACCUGCCAGUAAUUUCAGCAAAUGAAACGUGGAACACGUCAAGGCCAGAGGAUGGAAAAGGCUCCAGUUUUGAUAAAAGGAGGCCUGCUUGGCUUGGAAUCCUCUCUCCUGCUGGUUGGGAGAUGCAAAGAUGUUUCCAGAGAGGGGCUGAUGAAUUGAGGGGAAAGAAAUGAGCCCAGUAUGAGUCCCCUUUCAGGGCUGAGCGUGUAUAAAACCAAACAACUUGGAACCGCUCCAAGAGAGGGGAUUAAAGCAACAUGUUAUUCUGAGUGAUUGCUUAAUUUAUUGAGCUGCGGCUGGAUCUGUAAUGAAAUACAGCCCUUGUAACUGAUAACCUCCUGCUGCCAUUGAACUUCUACAAUUAAGGAAUAUUUUCUGAGUUUCUCUGGAACGGCUCUGAAUUUUUAGCCUCUGUGGUAGGGUGCUUCUGAACAUUUGUUUUCCAGGCAAUUUUUUUUGAGUAUUAGGCUGAUGUUAAUAAAUAAGCAGCAUUUUAUUGA